rnacentral:tRNA from 1 species
UGGCUCAGUUGGUAGAACAUGGUGUUUGCAACACCAGGGUUGUGGGUUCAAUUCCCAC